rnacentral:siRNA from 1 species
AGCGGAUUUCCUUUUUGGCUGA